CGCGCGCAGCCCCACCCAGCGAGCGGCACGGCGCCGGCAGCCCGGGCCCCGCAAGAAUUUAUAGGGGGCUAUUUUGGUCGCGCGCCCUGACUGGCCGACCGCAAGUGACGACACGCUCGCGCGCCGCGGGGCGGGGCGACAUCCGGGGGAGGAGCACUUCCGGCGGCCGCGCGGGUGAGUGGGACUGCGCCUCUUGGAGGCCGUGGACCCGAGGCCCCCACCGGUUGUAGGGGUGCUGUGCGCCCUCCAUGCCCAUCCUUCAAUCUGUCGGUUGGGUUAUGUUUUACUGAAAGAGCCCGUGUGCGUCGGAAAGGGUUGCUAAGAACCCAACACUCGUGAUUCUGGGAGGCGGUUGCUGGGUGGUGUGACACCUCACAAGCCUCGGGGCGGAAACGCGGCCUCACCGAUGCCAGCCCGGAGCUGCGUUUCCUGUCUGGGAGCUGUCAGCUCCGUCUGCGGACCUGUCUUCCUACCACCCUUACCUCGCCCGUAGCCCAGCGAGGACUCUGUAGCCUCCUUAUUUCUCGUGCAGACAGUUGCCAGGCCUCCCUCUCUUCCUGCAGCGCUGCUGUCCACCCUUCUCGAAGCCUGAGGAACAAAACACUCUUUAGACAUCACAAAAGGAUCCCAUUUGCACCGCAGUCCCCUGCGGAGCGCGGUGCCAGGCCUGGCCUUCCCUGGAUUCCGGCUGCCCAUCAUGGGCGGGCGGCAUUACUUCCGGGUCUCAGGGUUCUAAAAUUUCUUUUGAUGGCAAACUGGUUUUGAGCUUCUUUGGGGAAAGUUACUAAAUAAAUACCAAGUGUGAUUUCGAAAUAUCAAAAAUCGUGGUCAGACUUAAACAGAGCUACCAGAACUAUUUGAUGAUGGUUCCAAAUCCAUGUACAGGACACUGCAGCGGGGAUUGCCGCGGAACCAGGCAGGCCCGUGUGCAAUCUGCAUUGAACGCUGUGUGAGUUUCCAGACUUCUCCGAACCUCAUUUCCUUUAUAUGUAGCCUACUUUGCUGUACGGAUUAAAUGAGAUUUAUGAA